CGCAAAAGGUAGAGUUAGGAGAACUUCCUUUGACAGGAUGUGCAGGUUCCAAAUCAGUGAUGGAAGCCAAAUCCUGAAUAGUUUUCAAGUAGGAAGUUAAUAAUUACUGGAGAAAGCAAAACAGAAUUAAAACACCGUGGGAAAUGGAGCUACGUGGACAACUAUUUCAGAGACUGAAUGCAGGUGCGCUUAAAGAUAAAGAUUAGCUUUUUGUCCCACAUACAUCGAAACAUACAGUGAACUUUGUCAUUUUGCAACAACAACCAACACAGUCUGAGAACGUGCUCGGGACAGCCUGCAAGUAUCGCUAGGUUAUAUGGUUGUAGCAUGCCUGCAACACAUACAUCUUGGAAUGCGGAAGGAAACUGGAGCACCUGGAAUUAACAUGGGGAGAACGGACAAAAUUCUUACAGGCAGCAGCAGGAAUUGAACCCCAAUCUUUCAAUCCUUGGUGAGUUGUUGACUGACCUGCUGAGUGUUUCUAGCAGUUCCUGUUUUAUUUAAAUUCAGCCUCAGGAUGUUACACGUGAAAAUGAGUAUAGUGUACAUAAUCGACGAAGGACAAGCACAUUGACCUUCAGCUGGAAAACGGAACCAUCCGAGCAUUGGGAAAGGAGGAGGGAUCUUUUGAAGACCCUGACCUGGAGUUACACACUGACUUUAGUUCUUUGUGAGAAUGGGACCUGUUCUAGGGGUUUCAAGACUGGUUGUUGUUCAGCGCGUCAAGGAUUCGGCCUGACACUCCGGCUCGGAUUUGGAAGCCUAGGAUCUUGGGGCUCUGGAGAUGGGCAAAUCAAGAGUCAGUGUCAUGGCAGGAGACCCGUGUGUCAUUGGACAGAAGAUACAAAAGCCUGAAAACACGUACCACCAGGCUCAAGGACAGCUUCCAUUCCACUGUUGAGAUGCCCUCUCAUGCUUUUAAAUUCUAGUGACUCUAGACCUGGUUGACUCAAUCUUGCUCAUUGGACUGACCUGCCUUCAGUCUUAUCGUUGCUUUCCUUCUAAGACAGGUCAACCGUGCCCCAGGAUAGACAAAUACAUUUGAUCAUCUCUAUCUCCUCAAGCAGAACAGAUGCCAUUCUCACGGGAUUCAAAUCUCCUAAUCCAGGGGUCGGCAACGUUUACCACUGAAAGAGCCAAUAUGGACCCAUUUCCCACAGAAAAGAAAACACUGGGAGCCACAAAAUGAAAUAACACUGCAUACAACGGGGUUUUUUUUGCCUUUAUGCUAUGUAUAAACAAACUAUAAUGUGUUGCAUUUAUGAAAUUGAUGAACUCCUGCAGAGAAAACGAAAUUACAUUUCUGCGUGCAACAAAAACAUUUUGAACUCCGAAAAAAAAGACGUUGGGUUGAAGGUUACUCCAUAGUUAGCCUACCUUGGAUCGAAGAAUUAAAAGAAAGCGCGCACUGGCGGGUGUCAGGCAUUGGCAGUGGUGAUGUAUAUUA